rnacentral:rRNA from 1 species
UACGGGGGGAGCAAGCGUUGUUCGGAUUUACUGGGCGUAAAGGGCGCGUAGGCGGCCACUGCAAGUCAGUUGUGAAAUCUCCGGGCUUAACCCGGAAAGGUCAACUGAUACUGCAGGGCUAGAGUGCAGAAGGGGCAACUGGAAUUCUCGGUGUAGCGGUGAAAUGCGUAGAUAUCGAGAGGAACACCUGUGGCGGAGGCGACUCUCUGGGCUGUAACUGACGCUGAGGCGCGAAAGCGUGGGGAGCAAACAGG